rnacentral:rRNA from 1 species
AUCAUGGAGAGUUUGAUCCUGGCUCAGAACGAACGCUGGCGGCGCGUCUUAAGCAUGCAAGUCGGGCGAUAACCGGGGGCGACUCCGGGGAAAGCGGCGGACUGGUGAGUAACGCGUGGGUGACCUGCCCCGGGGAUGGGGACAGCCUUUGGAAACAGAGGGUAAUACCGAAUACGCCCGACCACUUAAUUUUCGGGAUUGCGGAGGCGGAAGCCGAAGGCAGUCGCGAAAAUUAAGUGGUCGGGGAAAGGGGCUACGGCCCCGCCCCGGGAUGGGCCCGCGUCCCAUUAGCUAGUUGGGUGGGUAAGAGCCGCCCAAGGCGAAGAUGGGUAGCCGGCCUGAGAGGGCGAACGGCCACACUGGGACUGAGAUACGGCCCAGACUCCUACGGGAGGCAGCAGCUAAGAAUAUUCCGCAAUGGGCG